rnacentral:rRNA from 1 species
UACGGAGGAUGCAAGCGUUAUCCGGAUUUAUUGGGUUUAAAGGGUGCGCAGGCGGCGCGUUAAGUCAGCGGCGAAUCUCCCGGCUCAACCGGAGAACUGCCGUUGAUGCUGGCGUGCUAGAGUACAGACGGCGCCGGCGGAAUGUGUCAUGUAGCGGUGAAAUGCUUAGAUAUGCCACAGAACACCGAUCGCGAAGGCAGCUGGCGAGGCCGGUACUGACGCUCAGGCACGAAAGCGUGGGGAUCAAACA